GUAAAGACAAAGAAGAGGAAAAGUAGGUAACCUGAUUUCUUCACAGAGAGCCGGGAGGCUGAGAACCGGUAUGAAUUGGUCUACUGAAGUUCGCCUUGGAGUUGCUUGCUGAAAUCUGGACUGACAGCAGUCGCAGAUGGUAGGUGUAGCCGGAAACCUUCACCGUUAUCAACGAAGGAGAGUAUCGGUGUUCGCCCGUACUUUUUAAGGUGAUUCGCCGUAAGGCGGAUAACAAAGGUGGUAACGCGAGAGUUGCUCUCGUCCUUUUU
rnacentral:ncRNA from 1 species